AGGUACCGGGAAAUCUCAGUUCUUGAAAUUUGCUGCAAAGUUAAGUAACGGAUCUGUUGUCACUACUGGCUUAGGAAGCACUAGUGCUGGACUCACUGUCACUGCAGUCAAGGAUGGAGGUUAGGGAUCGAAUUGGCAAGGAGCAUUGCAAAGGUAAUUUGCAAGAGUUGUUAAACCCAGACAAAAAACAAGAUUUUAGUAAGAGAACAACAUCAAAUACAAAUUCAUUGGAGAUGGAUAAAAGUUGGAUCCAUCUUAACA